UACUUUGUACUAUGUUUACUUGUAUUCAAUCUUCAAGCCAUAGUAUAAAUAAACUGACAGACUCAGCUCUUGUAAACACAACGCAUGAAUCGCAAACACAAGGGAUCUACUUUUUUCAUGGCGUAUGUAUACGGCAAAGUGAACGUGCAACGUAAGCUAUAAUGCCUAUGUCCGCCAUACUGCUAACAACGCCACGUAAAAACUCGUGACUGUGGCCUGACUUGAUCAACUAAAAAUCGCGUUCAAAAGUUUGAACUGAUAAGUAAUCCCUCUUGUUUUGGUGACGCCAUUUACUAGAUGUAUCGAGCAUGUCUGCUGAAAUCUAGGUCAAAUACAUCGCAUAAAGAGUUCGACUAAGUAAUUAAUUAACAGUCGCCAAUUUCUUAAUAAACAGAAUUUUCUAAUGCAAAAACCUUAAACUGUAUGAAGUUAAACUGUCGCACAUUAGCUGGAAACUAGAAAAUAAAACACUUUGGUGUGCAACAGUAAUGGCUGCCUAUUCGGGUAUAUGCAAGCUGUCCUGACGCCGAGUGAAGUUGAUCAAGUCGGAGAUUUAGUUUAUCAGCAAGGCGCUCGUAUCGGAGAACCUUCUCCGUGUUCAGAAAUGUCAGUUUUUGGACUUUUUCAGUGAACACAACGUGUCACUUUGUGGAUAAUGGGAUUUCUUUUAAUAAAGUACAACAGUGCAUCCAACAUGG